rnacentral:rRNA from 1 species
GACGAACGCUGGCGGCGUGCCUAAUACAUGCAAGUCGAACGCAGUGGGGACGGGUGAGUAACACGUGGGUAACCUCCCAUCAGAGGGGAUAACACUUGGAAACAGGUGCUAAACCGAUACUGAUGGAUCAACCCGCGGUGCAUUAGCUAGUUGGUAAGGUAACGGCUAACCAAGGACAGGAUGCAUAGACGACCGGAGAGUGUGAUCGGCCACACGGGGACUGAGACACGGCCCAGACUCCUACGGGAGGCAGCAGUAGGGAAUCUUCGGCAAUGGACGAAAGUCUGACCGAGCAACGCCGCGUGAGUGAAGAAGGUUUUCGGAUCGUAAAACUCUGUUGUUAGAGAAGCGGUAUCUAACCAGAAAGCCACGGCUAACUACGUGCCAGCAGCCGCGGUAAUUC